UCGAUUGCAAAGUUGGAGGGUUCGAAAAUUUUGACCCAAUCAAAUAAAGAUCCGUUGCUGUUGUCUUUUCUACGUAGAGCAAGCGUAGAAAUCAGGCAAUAUUUACAUGGUACCGAACCGAGUCAACAUUUACAAACUGGAACCACGAGCGCGGAAACCAAGUUCAACAAAAAAGACGGACCUUGUCGUGCGGAUAACAUUUGUUGUCGCGACGUCGAAGGUCUUGAGAACAAUUCCACUGCAGGUCAAAUGGUAAAAACUGGUUGCGGAAAUUUAGUAAGAAUUCCAGAUGAGGGACCAGGUACAUCUGGGAACCUAAGUUCAAUAGAUUGUGCUGUAGUGAAAUAAAUAUCCAACAAGUUGAGUACAGAUUUGAGAGGAAGGGAAAUUUCGACACGACAUGAGCUAUCUAUGCCUGAAGAUGAUCUGUCAGAAGUACACGAAAUGCGUGUAAAAUAUCAUAGAAUGUCAAUCUUGUCAAAAAACGUCUUCAAAAUGAGAGAAGCUCUAUGUCAAUUGAUGUAAAUGCUGUAGGUUCAAUGGCGGUACAAAUCCAAACUUUAAAGUACCCUCCAGAAAUGAAUUAUCGACUAUUACAGGCAAAUCGCGCUUGAAAAAGAACACCCUUGACUUUGCGUUGACUGAUGUUACAACCUCGAAAGAAGAAAACACCAGAUCGAUUGUGGAUCCCUAAAGCAACAAUAUAUUGAGGGAGACUUCCCUCGAACACAGCGCAGAGCAUUCUACCGGCACCGCGGAAGAUCUUAAUGAAGAAAUACUUGAUAGCAAGUCGAGUGAAACGCAUAAAAGAAGUGUUAUGAGCCUCAAUAUAGAGAAGUCAAAUACAAAUACACCCUCUAAUUCAACAAACAGUAUGUUUGAGCGAAGUAGUGAUAUUCUUGAGAUUGGAGAUCAUUUGAAGGACGGUAAAUUUUAGGAAUUACGACUGUAAAAACGUUUCAUAACGUCAAUGGAACAGAUCAGAGUGACCAAGUUAUUUUGUCUAAUAUCAAUUCUAUUGUACAGAGGAAAAGUAGCACACUCGGAGAAACAAAUCAAGAAAGUGGUGACUCAUCUACUAACGAUAUCGCGGAUCAAACAUCGGUAUUAAAUUUUUUUAAAAGAACUUCACGUGACUUUCUUCUAUCCGAGAAUAAAAUAUCUGAAGAAAAAGUUUCUCCAGUAGUUAGGAAAACAGUGACGUCAUUAAAAAAAGAGCAUGAAAGCUGAAUUUGCAGAAGUUAUCAACGAAAUGAAUGACAAUUUUUUAGAUGACAAAAGCAAAAUGGAACUUGACAGCAGGGUUUCAGAAGACACCAUUAUGAAGUAAGUUGCUUCAUUGCAGGGAAAUCGAGAUGAUUUUCCAGUACAACAAUCAUCUCUGACGUCAUUUCUGGCGGGAGAGCUUAUAGUGGAAGGAUUCAAACCUCAACACCAGACUUUUCAUCUACUAACGUGCACAAAGAGGACGACACCACUGAAAAAAAUUCGCUACUGCCGGUUGAGCAGAAUUUGUGAGAGCGCCCAAUAAUUGAUCAAACCUCGAGAUACCCACAUUUAGACGUUUCAGUACAAUGCGUGUCCCCACUUCAUCUGAUUGACGAAGAGGGUGUGAGAGUGAGUGUUUGUAAAUUUCCUUGUCUCAACAUCGGAAAAUAUGAUGCUGAAACACAAGUUGAAGAACGCAGUUUGGCAGAUAAAGAAAGUGUGAUGUCUCAUGCUACCGACUACUCCACCUAUCAAGCCUAUUUGAAAGACGAGAUCGGUGAAGUGCGGGAAAUUGGGAGAAGAUAUCGUAAUAUUUCUGUUAUACUGAUGAUGAUCAACAUAUUACUGUUACUAGGUGUAAUUGGUGGAACGGCAUACACAGUUUUUCAGUAUUUACAAUUAGAAGAUAUUUUUAAAGAAACACAAUACUUUGUUGCAAAAUGUGAAGAAAAUACAAACACACUUGACAGAAAACUUGGUAUUGAUUGAAAUGAGGAAUGUGUCACGAUUUCUAAAAUAUUGGUAGUGUUAGGCCGUAGAAACACGUCAACGAUGAUUUACAAAUUUCUCCAGAAACUGUAAAAGCACAAUAUAAUAAGCAUUAACAAAGCCGACAAUCGGACAAAUUUAAAGUUUGCAAUGCAAUGUUGCUCUUGAUGGUUUCACAAUAUUUUACCAUAAUAGUUUUAAAUUUUGGGACUCGUAAUCAAACAAGAUUGAUAACAUCAAACACUAAGUCAAAGAAAGAUAAAUUUUAUCGAAUUAACUCGGAAAGAAAGCUGACAACCUGAAUUAGUUCUCUAAUUUUGAAAUGGAAGGUUGCGAUAGAAGUAACUAUGACAUAUCAAAUUAAAACAGGAGACACAUGGCAAAAUAGAACUCAACAACAAAAUAACAAUGCAGAUUAAACUGCAAUUUAAUCCCAUAGUCAAACUUUCGUUGAAUGUUGUACACUUCUCUGAAAGACAGAUUCUGAUUGCAAGGGUUUUUAUUGAACCAUGGCCGCAAUCCCUGGUUUCAUCGUGCAAAUGUUUUCGAAAUUUAGUUGACGAGAUAAUGACGAAAAUAAUUAGAUAACAAAAAAGAAUUCUACAUUUUGUCCGAAAAAAUGAGAUUUCAUCGAAUAAUUGCAGAACAUUUUCAACUUUCCCUGAUAUCUAUAAUGAAAUUACUGACAAAUAUCAAAUAUUAGUAUGUUGCUUUGUAUUUUCAAACGAUAGAGAGUAAUUGUUCACAAAAGACGAAAUUCAAUAACAUUUGAACUUUACUCCUCAAAUUUUGAACAGUAUCUUAACCGGAAAAAUUUCGGCGCUCCAGAAGUAUGUGUACCAAAAUGGAGAUAACUGAUUUUGUUCGCCUACUUUACAUCAAGUUGGAUAGAGGGACGGCAACCUAUGGGCAUAUUCACUUGGCUAACACAGUCAGUCCCUAAACUCGUAAUACUAUAGAACUAAAAUGAGGAAAUCCAAAAAAAAUAUGGCCUAACCAUAACCUGGUACACAUAC